GAUGAACGCUGGCGGCGUGCCUAACACAUGCAAGUCGAGCGAUUCUCUUCGGAGAAGAGCGGCGGACGGGUGAGUAACGCGUGGGUAACCUGCCCUGUACACACGGAUAACAUACAGAAAGGUAUGCUAAUACGAGAUAAUAUACUUUUAUCGCAUGGUAGAAGUAUCAAAGCUUUUGCGGUACAGGAUGGACCCGCGUCUGAUUAGCUAGUUGGUAAGGUAACGGCUUACCAAGGCGACGAACAGUAGCCGACCUGAGAGGGUGAUCGGCCACAUUGGAACUGAGACACGGUCCAAACUCCUACGGGAGGCAGCAGUGGGGAAUAUUGCACAAUGGGCGAAAGCCUGAUGCAGCAACGCCGCGUGAGCGAUGAAGGCCUUCGGGUCGUAAAGCUCUGUCCUCAAGGAAGAUAAUGACGGUACUUGAGGAGGAAGCCCCGGCUAACUACGUGCCAGCCGCCGCCGUAAAAC
rnacentral:rRNA from 1 species